UACAGAGGUCUCAAGCGUUGUUCGGAUUCAUUGGGCGUAAAGGGUGCGUAGGCGGCGAGGUAAGUCGGAUGUGAAAUCCCGGGGCUCAACCCCGGAACUGCAUUCGAUACUGCUUUGCUUGAGUACUGGAGAGGAGACUGGAAUUUACGGUGUAGCAGUGAAAUGCGUAGAUAUCGUAAGGAAGACCAGUGGCGAAGGCGAGUCUCUGGACAGUUACUGACGCUGAGGCACGAAGGCCAGGGGAGCAAAGCGGG
rnacentral:rRNA from 1 species